GACGUAGGUGGCGAACGUUAUCCGGAAUUAUUGGGCGUAAAGAGCUCGUAGGCGGUCUGUCGCGUCGGCUGUGAAAACCUGGGGCUUAACUCCGGGCUUGCAGCCGAUACGGGCAGACUAGAGUUCGGCAGGGGAGACUGGAAUUCCUGGUGUAGCGGUGAAAUGCGCAGAUAUCAGGAGGAACACCGGUGGCGAAGGCGGGUCUCUGGGCCGUAACUGACGCUGAGGAGCGAAAGCAUGGGGAGCGAACAGG
rnacentral:rRNA from 1 species